UGGGGAAUAUUGGACAAUGGGCGAAAGCCUGAUCCAGCCAUGCCGCAUGAGUGAAGAAGGCCUUUGGGUUGUAAAGCUCUUUUAGUGAGGAAGAUAAUGACGGUAUUCACAGAAGAAGUCCUGGCUAACUCCGUGCCAGCAGCCGCGGUAAUACGGAGAGGGCUAGCGUUAUUCGGAAUUAUUGGGCGUAAAGGGCGCGUAGGCUGGUUAAUAAGUUAAAAGUGAAAUCCCGAGGCUUAACCUUGGAAUUGCUUUUAAAACUAUUAAUCUAGAGAUUGAAAGAGGAUAGAGGAAUUCCUGAUGUAGAGGUAAAAUUCGUAAAUAUUAGGAGGAACACCAGUGGCGAAGGCGUCUAUCUGGUUCAAAUCUGACGCUGAAGCGCGAAGGCGUGGGGAGCAAACA
rnacentral:rRNA from 1 species